ACACCAUUACAUCUUGGGUAUAACGCUAAGCCAUUGGGUCCCACGGUACCAUUGCACUUGCAUAGUCAUUGCCUAGAUGGCAUAUCAAGUGGGCUACUGUGUGUAUGACUUGGCAGGUAAAUAACAAGGAGUUAUAUUUUGGAGCCUUGUUUUUGUUGGCAAGUUUCGGGUAUUUUGUUCAUGGAUUUGUUUUCAGGCUAAGAAAGUAAGACAUAUAUAUAGCACAUGUCACUUUUGUCACCUUGUUUAUUGCUUUGCUAAGUACUUGAGCCUAUGGCAGGGGUUCUCGAACGGGGUUCUGUGGAAGCCAGAAGUUCCCGCGAACGGAUUUUAGGAUUCUGUGGGUGAUCAGAACAAAUCCAAACCCAUCUCGUUUUCCUCCAUUCACUUCCACAAUUAAUCUGCUUAGAGGAGAAAUUUUGCAUUGCAUUUUGAAUUUAACAAAGCCAUUGCAUGCCACAUCUGUACAUUCACGCGGCAGCAUAGUGCAAUACUCAUCACUGUCAUUUGCAAGCUCACGGGGCCCAUGCUGAGCGCUUUUCAAACGUGCUCGCAAGGGUGGCUUAUAACGCAACAGGAAUCAGUGCAAACAUUCUGCAAGCUCAGAGCCAUUUCAGAAUUUGGCGCCAUCUGUCUGGUCAACUCUUCUUGGCAACAAACGGUGAACAUUUAAACAGCAUAUUGUAUAACAGAAACAUGGGGCACAUUUAUGCGUGAUUUUUGGUUGAAGAGCAUCGGUGUCGGGCACAUUUAUUUUUGAUACAGGCUGAUUUGCUACCACACUGCAUUGGUUUCCAGCCAAAAAAGCUCCACAAGCAUUUGCAUGCAUAUCUGCAUAUCGAAGACCAUUCUGCAGCAUGAGUAACUUGCGAAAUAUAUUUUUUUUUUUUGCAAAAGAAUAAAAUCAAGUUUCAUGCAUCCAACACUCUAGUUUGUGUAAAGAUGCUGUUUAUGGUGCGCAUGCUCUGCACUGUGGCUCGGCAAUAAAUAAUUGCUUUAUGUAAUGUCUUUGUAUUAUUGUGAGUUCCUCAUCAAGAGUCUCUCUCUAGA
rnacentral:lncRNA from 1 species